GGCAGUCCGCCGCCGCGGUAAUACCGGCGGCCCGAGUGGCGGUCACUAUUAUUGGGCUUAAAGCGUCCGUAGCCGGGUUUGGAAGUCCUCCGGGAAAUCUGGCCGCUUAACGGUCAGAAUGCCGGAGGAUACUCCCAGCCUAGGGAGCGGGAGAGGCCGAGGGUAUUCCCGGAGUAGGGGUGAAAUCCUAUAAUCCCGGGAGGACCACCUGUGGCGAAGGCGCUCGGCUGGAACGCGUCCGACGGUGAGGGACGAAGGCCAGGGGAGCAAACCGGAUUAGAUACCCGGGUAGUCCUGGCGGUAAACGAUGCGGACUUUGUGUCGGACAAGCUAUGAGCUUGUCCGGUGCCGGAGGGAAACCGUUAAGUCCGCCGCCUGGGGAGUACGGCCGCAAGGCUGAAACUUAAAGGAAUUGGCGGG
rnacentral:rRNA from 1 species